CAUUCACUGUAACAUAUAAAAUUUUUGAAAAAAAAAGUCAUUUAUGUAUAUGAACAGGUAUUUUUGUUUGAAUAUGUAUAACUUUUAAAAUAGAAAUAUAAUGUGUUUGCUUUAUAGAUUGAAAAAAAUUGGCAUUUUCAUUCCCAUAUGUACUACCCAUAUGGGUAUAAACUCUAAGACAUUGCUUAAAAUAAAUAAGGAAAUAUAUCUACUAAAUUUUGUAGAGGGCAUUCCUAUAAUUAUAAACCAUCUCUGAAAAUUGUAUGUCAUUAAAAUAUGGUUUUAAUAGCCUCUACUUAGUAAACAUUAUUCUAUUUCAUAUGUAAAUCUAAAUGUAUAACUUGAGGGGGAAAUGAUUUCUGUUCAUAUUAUUUUUAAUGGACUAACAUUCUGUAAUUUUAGAGCUGAAAGAGUUCUUAGAGGGUUUUACCUGUGUCCUUCAGAAAUUUUUGUUAACAAGUUAACUUUCAAGGGAUCUACAUUUUACAUGGUACUCUACUAAUGGUCAGAUUUCAUCUUAUCCAAAUUUAGCAUGCAGUUUUCUUUAUUCAAGCUUUCUCUAGAAUACAGUGCUGCUGGGAAGUGUGCUGUGACAGUUUUCAAGAAUUUUUAAUGAGAGUUAAUUUGAAUGCUCAAGUUCUAAAAUAUUAAUGAUGUUCAAGAGAACUCUUUAGCUCUAAAAUUUAGACUUUUGUCUUCUGAAUUGAAGAAUUAAUUAAUGUUCUACCUUAAAUAUAAUUCAAAUUUUAAUAAAUAUAAUGAUAUAAAGAAGACUUUGAUGUAUACAUUUGCUCUUUUACAUAUGUAAAUGCCUAUUGAGGCUUGAAUUUCUCAGUGUGACUAAAAGUCUUAAUAUGCUGAAUAAUUAAAUAGUAUAGCUUAUAUUUAUUUCUCAUAUUUUUCUCAGUAUCAUUUUGUUAAACAUAAUUUCUCUAAUCAUAACUGAUUUCUGGUGUUCAUUUUCAUUGUGUUCCCAGAUUAAAUGUGUGUUUCAAAAGUUUCAAGAGCAUUAUUGGAUGAUGGAAGAAUACUAUUAUAAUCCUAUUAUAGUUAUAAUUAAAAAUAUUAGUUUAAAUAAACUGUAAUUAUCUUGUUAAUAUUGA
rnacentral:lncRNA from 1 species